UCUGGUGAAAUAGAGGAGGGCAGUUCAGUGACCCUGAGCUGCAGCAGUGAUGCCAACCCAGCUGCUAACUACACCUGGUUCAGGGAACAUGAAGACUCAAUGAAAGCAUCAGGACAGAACUACGCCAUCACUAACAUCACAUCUGAGCUUGGAGGAAACUAUUACUGCCAAGCCCAUAAUGCAAUCGGACUUCAUAAUUCCACCUUUCUGUUAAUUAAAGAAGAAAGAGGGCCUCCAGUAAAGCAUGUGGACGGGGAGGAAGGCCAGAUACCGUGGAGGAGCUACAUCCUGUUCCUGUGUAUGAAAACGUCUCAGCUCUGACCAAUCGCUUGGCGCCUGCAGCACAGAGAGAACCAAUAAAAGAGCAGGAUGGCCAUCACUGUGCCAUCAUCCACACCUCCUCAGACAACCAGGACCAGGACCAGACGGAGAUGGGAGGAACCUCAGAGUUGUAAGCACCGUCAAAUAAACACCCCAGAGUGUGAACCAGCAGCGGCAGCAGGAUUUAAAUGGUGUUACUGAGCAUAGUGUCUGAUUCAUCCAGUUGAAACAGGACAAUAGGAUGGCUGAUUGUUUGCUGAACAUCCUAAGGCUGUUUUCCACUGUUUUCUACUUUUCUAUCAUAAAUAUGGGAUCUUUGCAUUUUAUUAAUGGUAAUAUUAAUAUUUGAGUAUGGUGAUCCUGUGAUUUCAUUACCAUUACUGUGCUAUAUUAAUCAAUUAUAUAUAUAUUACGGUAAUCAAUCAACGUGAAAAUGAAAGUAUCCAAUCUCAUUGGACCUUCGACCUUAUGUGAUGCUUACAUUAACAUAAAAAUGUUUUUCAUGCCUCAUUCUGAUAUUUUUUGAUUUCAACGCUUUUUUUAAUAAAUGACUACUUUUAA